UGCUGGUCCUACUCCCACAGGAGGAUAUGUGUGUAGAGCUGGGAGAGGAGACCCAGUCUAUGACACACUCUACAGUGAACCUCAGUUUCUCUGGUCAGGAGAUCUGCAGCCUUCAGUGUCUCUCAGAAUAAGUCCCAACACAACACAACACUUUACAUCAAAGUCUCUCUCAUUGAGCUGUGAGGAGAAGGGGAACUCUACUGGAUGGAGACUGAUGAGCUACAGAGAGAGAGGAGUAGAGUCAGGGUGUGUCUCUAACUGGGGAUCAAUAACAGGGUCCACAUGUACCAUCAACUACACAUACACAUGGUCCAGUGGAGUGUUCUGGUGUGAGUCUGGAUCAGGAGAGUACAGUAAUGCUGUCAACAUCACAGUAAAUGAUGGUGAUGUGAUCCUGGAGAGCCCUGUC